rnacentral:rRNA from 1 species
CGUUUAGGGGUAANCCNGAGAAACCCGAAAGGUCGAAGAGAGAAAUUCAUUCGCGUUUCAUGGUAGGCAUUGAAUAGUUUGUGUGACAAAAAGUAUUUAUAUUUUUUGCACCAUCUGUUUAUAUGAACCGACAAUGAACGUGUGCACUUUUCUCUUGGUAGGACGUCGCGAUCCGUCGAGUGUCGGUCUACGACUUAUAGUGGAGCCCAUUUAUCAUUUUAUAUGUUUAAGUGGACCUAUUUGUUCUGGCCGACUUGCUCAACGGUAUACGAAUGGUUUGGGGCCGCUUUUUAAGCGUUCGACUUGUUGCAAGCGCGCUAGAUGUUUGUCGAUAAUCGAACCUAGUUCGGUUUCGGCCUCUAGUGACUGUUGGCGAUAAUGUUCUCGAACAGACCUCUUUAAAACUGAUCGGCGACGCUAUAGCUUUGGGUACUUUCAGGACCCGUCUUGAAACACGGACCAAGGAGUCUAGCAUGUACGCAAGUCAUUGGGUAUAUUAUUAAACCUAAAGGCGUAAUGAAAGUAAAAAUCUUUCUUGUAAAGAUUUAGGGAAGACGGGUAAUUUAACUAUGUUGAUUGCUCUGCAUUCCCGGGGCGUCUCAUUCUCAUUGCGAGAGGAGGCGCACCAAGAGCGUACACGCUGGGACCCGAAAGAUGGUGAACUAUGCCUGGUCAGGACGAAGUCAGGGGAAACCCUGAUGGAGGUCCGUAGCGAUUCUGACGUGCAAAUCGAUCGUCGGAACUGGGUAUAGGGGCAAAAGANUAAUCGAACCNUC